GGUCACGCUUCUGUUCUGCACUUGACAGUCGCUGCUUCUGCACCACUGAGCUAAAUAUGUGUAAAUGUAGAGUAUCUGCGUUCCUAUGAGCUGUCAGCCACAUUGGGAAGCCUGUCUAUGAAUCUAAAGUCAGACUUCAAUGAUCCAACCCCACUCUCUGCACACAAGAUUGAUGGCAUGCUGCUGUUGACCCCCAAGAGGUUCAUACAAGUGAGACAGAAGUAAGAACACUGUGAUGGCGGCUGAAGCCCCACGAAACAUGAUCCUACGUGCUGUCGAAUCUGACCGUGUAAUUAAAUUAAAACUUGACUCCCGUCCGGCCUCUUUUGAUGAACUGAUUAAGAUUUUAAAAGAAAAACUGGAACUUGACUGUGAUUUCAAUUUGAAAUACGAAGAUCCAGACUUUGAUGGAAGGCUCACUUGCCUUGUUGACAUAGAGGAGUUACCACAAAAAUACUGUGUUCAUAUUUCCCUUACACAGGAUUCCCGUUCUGUUGCAUCAACUGAUACCUUUUCAGAUGUGUCAUCCCCAGAGCGUCUAAGCAGAUGGCCCCCAGGUCCUUUUCAGAUUCCCAAAUUUCCAUUUGACAUUGAGCUGACACUUAGAGAUGGGAAUACUGAAUUUGAAAAGAAUGAAAGACUUCAGUUGUCAAGAGACCAAAAACAUGGUAUUUUAGAGAAUCUGGCAUCUACCAUAUAUACAGUAGGUUCAAGGCUUACCCUAGUGACAAAGAAAUAGCAAUGGUCUUGUGAGCAAACAUCAUGUUUAAAAGAAGCAGGAUCUGACAGUGGUUGGAAUGGAUGGAAAAACAGCAUCAAGUUCAAAAAGGAAAAUUACAGGACUAAGAAGAGAAGAGCUGGAUGUCAGGAGGUCUCCGUAAAUGCUGGGAAAAGAAGCCAAAGAAACCCAGAGAAUGAACCUUCCCAUUCAAACAUCCAAGCGUGCAGAACUUCCUGCCUAACUUUCCUCAAGGAGAAGACCCCUCUAGUCUGGGCUGUAUGAGGCAGGCUGUUGUUGAGGAAGUAAAGAAGACUGAGAGAAACAUAUGUGUUAUUAGCCGGAUGAUGCAGACAACAUUUGCCUUGAGACGACAGACGAGUCAUGUCCUGCCCUCCUGUGAAAGAGCUGAUGGACCUCUGGCCUGCUCUUCAUAUGCCAGCUGAGGUGUAGGCAGAGUUUCAACGAAUCACAAACCAGAACCGUCCUAACACCUUUUAUGCGCAGCUAGAUCGCCACACUCCUCAUUUGAUGGCCUUAUUCAUACAGAAAGCUUCCAAAACUGGAAAGACUGCAAAUGCUUUGGCUGACAUUGUCAAAGCCCAUGAUGCACAGGAAUUACAUGAUGUCCACACAAGGCGUACCACUGUUCUCCAUGCCCUUCCUGUCUAUCUACGUGAGGAAUCCUCUGGAUUUUUGAGGACAUGUGUGGAUGAUACCAAUGAGCCGGACCUCGGAUGCAGCAGUUGUCCUCCUGACAACAAUCACCGAUGAUGCCGAGAGUCCAGUUACGUACGACCCAGUGAGAAUCUGUUAUCCUAGAGCAGUGGUUCCCAAACUUAUUUAGCCGCGCACCCCCUUCUAUGUCCCGACCAUGUCCUGGGCAUGCUCAGUUGAAGUUUCCCUCUCUGCGCGUUCAAGAUGUAAGAAAAAUAAUACGAAAGAAAUGCAACAAUGAAAACUUCAAAAAGGCAUCAACAACCAAGCAAGUGGAUCCAUAAAAUGGACUGAUUUUUUUAAAGGCAUUUUUAAAAAGUCUUUCAAAAUGGACAGAAUUAACACGUCAUGUUCAGAACAGUUUGCGUUCUCAUCUUUGAUUAAUCCUGGUAAACAGGUCUGUUUUUGUUCUGUUCUAAUUCUCUCUGUUUAAUACAUUUAAACAAAAUUACUUAGCUACUUUAUUAACUUUUUUCUCUACAUAAAGACGAAGUAUCAGUAAAUAGUGGAAAUUAAAUGUAUUGGUCGUAAGCAAAUAGCAGAUGUUAAAUGUUACUUGCAGUAUGUGUUUAUAGAAAAAAUAGAGAUACUUAAAUGUACUAAAAGAAUAUUACGUCAAGU